GACGAACGCUGGCGGCGCGCCUAACACAUGCAAGUCGAACGAGCGAGAGAGAGCUUGCUUUCUCGAGCGAGUGGCGAACGGGUGAGUAACGCGUGAGGAACCUGCCUCAAAGAGGGGGACAACAGUUGGAAACGACUGCUAAUACCGCAUAAGCCCACGGCUCGACAUCGAGCAGAGGGAAAAGGAGCAAUCCGCUUUGAGAUGGCCUCGCGUCCGAUUAGCUAGUUGGUGAGGUAAUGGCCCACCAAGGCGACGAUCGGUAGCCGGACUGAGAGGUUGAACGGCCACAUUGGGACUGAGACACGGCCCAGACUCCUACGGGAGGCAGCAGUGGGGGAAUAUUGCACAAUGGGGGGAAACCCUGAUGCAGCGACGCCGCGUGGAGGAAGAAGGUCUUCGGAUUGUAAACUCCUGUUGUUGAGGAAGAUAAUGACGGUACUCAACAAGGAAGUGACGGCUAACUACGUG
rnacentral:rRNA from 1 species